AGUCGAACGGUGAAGAGGGAGCUUGCUCCCUCUGGAUCAGUGGCGAACGGGUGAGUAACACGUGAGUAACCUGCCCCAGACUCUGGGAUAAGCACUGGAAACGGUGUCUAUGACCGGAUACGAGCUUCAGUCGCAUGGCUAGGAGCUGGAAAGAAUUUCGGUCUGGGAUGGACUCGCGGCCUAUCAGCUAGUUGGUGAGGUAAUGGCUCACCAAGGCGACGACGGGUAGCCGGCCUGAGAGGGUGACCGGCCACACUGGGACUGAGACACGGCCCAGACUCCUACGGGAGGCAGCAGUGGGGAAUAUUGCACAAUGGGCGCAAGCCUGAUGCAGCAACGCCGCGUGAGGGACGACGGCCUUCGGGUUGUAAACCUCUUUUAGUAGGGAAGAAGCGAAAGUGACGGUACCUGCAGAAAAAGCACCGGCUAACUACGUGCCAGCAGCCGCGGUAAUACGUAGGGUGCAAGCGUUAUCCGGAAUUAUUGGGCGUAAAGAGCUCGUAGGCGGUUUGUCGCGUCUGCUGUGAAAACUGGAGGCUCAACCUCCAGCCUGCAGUGGGUACGGGCAGACUAGAGUGCGGUAGGGGAGAUUGGAAUUCCUGGUGUAGCGGUGGAAUGCGCAGAUAUCAGGAGGAACACCGAUGGCGAAGGCAGAUCUCUGGGCCGUAACUGACGCUGAGGAGCGAAAGCAUGGGGAGCGAACAGGAUUAGAUACCCUGGUAGUCCAUGCCGUAAACGUUGGGAACUAGAUGUAGGGACCAUUCCACGGUUUCUGUGUCGCAGCUAACGCAUUAAGUUCCCCGCCUGGGGAGUACGGCCGCAAGGCUAAAACUCAAAGGAAUUGACGGGGGCCCGCACAAGCGGCGGAGCAUGCGGAUUAAUUCGAUGCAACGCGAAGAACCUUACCAAGGCUUGACAUAUACCGGAAAUGGCUGGAAACAGUCCCCCCGCAAGGUCGGUAUACAGGUGGUGCAUGGUUGUCGUCAGCUCGUGUCGUGAGAUGUUGGGUUAAGUCCCGCAACGAGCGCAACCCUCG
rnacentral:rRNA from 1 species